AAACACAGUAUGCCAUAAACUACAUGACUCAAUUUUUAUGAUACCCCACAAUGAGUUAUGCACAUUUUUAUAUGCGUGUCCGUAAAAGUCCAACAUUUUUUGCUGCAGGUGAGCAAAUACUGACACUUUAGGGUACAUUCAGGUUUUGCCCCUCGCUCUGCAUGCUUUUCUAUUGAACUAAAUCUUGUAUGACUCUAGUAUUUUGCCCAUUACCUUUUACGGGAAUGAUGUUGGUUACAGUGGCUUAAAAAGGGG